AGUGAACGCUGGCGGUAGGCCUAACACAUGCAAGUCGAACGGCAGCACAGUAAGAGCUUGCUCUUACGGGUGGCGAGUGGCGGACGGGUGAGGAAUACAUCGGAAUCUACUUUUUCGUGGGGGAUAACGUAGGGAAACUUACGCUAAUACCGCAUACGACCUACGGGUGAAAGCAGUGGAUCUUCGGACCUUGCGCGAUUGAAUGAGCCGAUGUCGGAUUAGCUAGUUGGCGGGGUAAAGGCCCACCAAGGCGACGAUCCGUAGCUGGUCUGAGAGGAUGAUCAGCCGCACUGGAACUGAGACACGGUCCAGACUCCUACGGGAGGCAGCAGUGGGGAAUAUUGGACAAUGGGCGCAAGCCUGAUACAGCCAUACCGCGUGGGUGAAGGAGGCCUUCGGGUUGUAAAGCCCUUUUGUUGGGAAAGAAAAGCAGCAGGUUAAUACCCAGCUGUUCUGACGGUACCGAAAGAAUAAGCACCGGCUAACUUCGUG
rnacentral:rRNA from 1 species